rnacentral:tRNA from 1 species
ACUAUUUUGACAGAUUAAUGUAUUGAAUUUAGAAUUCAUAAAUGUAGGUUUAUUCUACAAAUAGUA